CUCACAAUUUGCAGAUAUGACUAUUCAAAAUGGGUCUUCAUCAUGAUGGUCCUUUGAACUAAUUGGAACAAGGAGGUAAGCACACAUCAAAAUCAAAAUUGUUGUUUUGUUAAGUUAUAAUACACUCCUUGAGUAAUUAUUUUUUACAUUAGCAAUGUAAUUUAACCCAUACUAAUAAGUUGUUAGUACAAUAUUUCCCAUCAUGUUGAAUAAUAUUUAUGUGCCAUUACCUUUGAAAUGACCUGAUUGUGUAAGUAUUUGCCACUCAUCACAGAACUAAUAUCAUAUUGAAAAGAGACACUGACUAUUUUCAAUUUGGUCAUCUGAUACAUGCUUUCCUUGCGGAGGACCGAAUAAAACAAUGGGGAGGAGACUCAGAGGCCAAAGAAAAAAUGGUGAAAGGGAGGAAAAAAGGAAGAGGCUCGUCGAUAUUCAAAAUCAAUCUUUAGUGAUGAUUUUAGGUAGCCUUCACAUCAUGAAGUUCUUGGGAAUGCGAGUAGUAUUCAUCAAGUCCUGAAUGCAUUGCGAAGGGUUGAGAACAUGCGAUCCAAGAUUUCGUUUUGAUCAUGGCUUUACUUAUUGAAUAUUUGUCAUGUACAUGUUUGCUAAAUUCUAAUGGAAUUACUUUAUUUAAAGUUGGUGUUGUUUA